GAAACCACUGGGCAUAUUCGCGCGGCAGCUGAGUGAGUUCAGUACCACCCCAGAUGACAGCCGUAUCAGCAUAGACGUCAGGCCAGCAGACAGCGUGGUGAAGUGUCAUAUGGAGCAUAAACCGAGAAAAACCGACAAGAACUAUAGACCUGCUUUGCAUGUGAAGUUAACACUAAGUGAAUUGCAUUAAUUUAUUGAUAUAACUACUGAGUGAAUUUAUUAUAAUAACUAUUCGUAAGCAGCCGUGAAAGUCAGAAAUCAAACUGAAUUGUAAAACCUAGCUAAAACUAUUAGUACGGUUCUAAGUAGUACGGCAGUUAGUUUACUCUUAAUCAGUAGUCCACGCAAAUACCAGUUACAUGCAAGACAGUACAUGCAAACACAAUAGAAAUCAGUUCGGACAAGACACAACAAAGAAGAAAACGAAAAUCUUUGAAGCUGCGUGUUAGCUGCUAUCAAAAUCGUUUCCCUUCCCUGUCCGAACAGUACGUAUAGGUACAUAUCAGGAGGAAGGAUCAAAACCGAG